UGCUAUCACAGAGAUUCUGCCUAAAAUGAAAAAAAAAAAAAUUAUAGAAGAGGCCAAAUUUUUAAAAAUCUGUCAGGAUGCAGUAUCAAUUAUUCGUGAAAGUAUAAUACUGGGACUCAAAUUUCUAACUUAAAUAAGUGAAUUUAGACAAAUGGUGAUCUUUCCAAGUCUAAGUUAUCUCAUUGUUAAAAAGAGAUUGGAAUAGAUUAAUUUUUUUUAAGCUCACAACUUCCGGCAUCAUGGUUAUACGGGUACUCUCAUCUUUGAGAAGAAAUUUAGAGAUCAUCUAAUCUUGUUCAAGUAUGUAAUUUUACAGCUGACAAAACAGAGGCUCAAAAUUCUUCCAGUGUCUUACCCAAAGCUGAGGCUAGAAUCCACAUAUCUUGAUUUCUCUUUCUAAUUAUCUUACUAAACUAUAAAACCUUCUGAAUUACUCCUUACGUUCUUCCAUGCACACUUUGUAAGCAAAAUGCAUUAUAAUUUAUGUAAGCCCCUUUGCAUUAAAUUUGUACCUUUAAAGGACCAUUAAAUUACUUCACAGCCCUAAGUUCCCACAUAGUAGAUGCCACUUAUAACACCUAUUCCAGGUUUGGGUUUCCAGUAUGUUUGGAUCGUAGUCUCAUUGAGUCACAAGAUGAGAUCAUGAAUGCGACAGUCUGUGGAAAGCUAUAAAGUGUUUAUGACAACACUCUUGGUUGGCCACCCAAUAUUAAUUCACAAUCCCCUCUCCCUUCUCACCAGAUACUCUUCUAGCCUCCCUUAAAGCAAAUAAUGGUCACUUGAUCCUGCUCUAGCCAAUGAGUUCGCUAAGGAGGCCUCUGGGGAAGAUUGUAUUCUCUGAUAAAAUAAGGAGACUUGAGAGAAUAGUUCUCUCACCAUCAUGACUGUCUUCGGGCACAUUCUUGAAGGAUGAGGUGUUUGGAGCUCUAGCAGCCUUCCUGUAACCAGGUGGGGGUCACGGAGACAUAAUCCCAGUGAUCUAACAUUGUAGAGUUUCUCACCUCCAUUUGAAUUCUUUAAAAAUUAUAGAUUUUUAAUAUGGUUUAAAUCACUAUGAGUUGAAUUUUCUCCUUUUAGUAGCUAAAAGCAUUCCUAAUUGAUAAAGCAUGGUAUAGAUAAGACAUUUUCAAUGAGAGGAAAUAUACAUCAGUGAACAUUGUAUCUCAGUGCUUGGCAAUGUAGACAGAUACUCCAUAAUCAAACAGUAAUUGUGGGAUUUAAUGAACAAAUCAAUAUCAUUGUGAUUACUAUCCUUGUUCUAAUGCAGCCUACAGAGAGUGGGUAUUUAGUUUUUAAACAAAUGGUAUGCUAUGUGAAAUUAGGGAAGGAGCAUAAUAAUGAAAUACAGAGAACAUAAUGAAAUCAAUCACUUCUGACCACCGGAGAGAGAUUAGAAAGGGAUUUAGUCUGUCCACAAUUGUUGCAAACACUACAAUUUGGCUGAUACCAUUUCCAACUCACUUCUUUUACAUUGUUAUCUCCUACAGAAGCAGUGAAAGCUAAAAUCUCCAUGUCCUAGCCUCCCUUGAAAUUUGAGGGGCGAUGUGUGGUGUUAUGAUAUGUAUUAAUUUUUGUCUACAGUUCCUAGCUCCCAACACCCAUAGCCCUUGUUACAGUAUUUUGUUACAGUGUUGGGCAUAUUAGGCCUCAGGAGCAGACCUCAAGAAACAGAACCUCUCUCACCUGCUUCUGCUCUCCUUUCACCUGCCCCAAGGCAGGGCUCUAAUCUUUCCCCCUCCUUUCUGACUGUGGGUCUUAGGACCCUCACCUGAGAGGGACCUACCCCAUAUCCUGGGAAAAGGAGUGAUGACAUCCUGAAGCUUUCAUUAAAAACCCAAGAGGGCAGGCUUAGCGCGGUGGCUCACACCUGUAAUCCCAGCACUUUGAGAGGCCGAGGCGGGCGGAUCACCAGAGGUCGGGAGUUUGAGAUCAAGCAUUUCAUUCCAGCCUGGGCAACAAGAGCGAAACUCUCUCUCAAAAAAAAAAAAAAAAAAAAAAAAAAA
ensembl:lncRNA